UACGAAGGGGGCUAGCGUUACUCGGAUUGACUGGGCGUAAAGGGCGCGUAGGCGGAUGGUACAGUCAGACGUGAAAUUCCUGGGCUCAACCUGGGGGCUGCGUUUGAUACGUGCUGUCUGGAGUUCGGAAGAGGGUCGUGGAAUUCCCAGUGUAGAGGUGAAAUUCGUAGAUAUUGGGAAGAACACCGGUGGCGAAGGCGGCGACCUGGUCCGAUACUGACGCUGAGGCGCGAAACGUGGGGAGCAAACAGG
rnacentral:rRNA from 1 species